CCAUUUCUCUUCGAAGUCAUCGUCACUCUUCUCCUCCGCACAGACAGUGGGUGCGGUGUCGCGUGUGGAAGGCUGGAAGCUCUGUUCGGUGGAAGUUCGAACGCAGCCCGCAACCGCCAUUCCUCUUCUCAUCCUUCCUCAUUUCGCCGCUGUCGUAGGAAGGUCUCCUACUCUCCUCUCCUCUCAUCGUUCUCGGUCAUCGUCUCCUCUGUUCGAGCUCUCUCUCUGUCUUUGCCGGUAGUUCCCGCUCCUCCGCCGCCGUCACUUCCUUUCUUCCCUCACCGCCAUGGAUAGAGUAAGUUUCUAAACCCAAUAAGAAAGCAGUUAAUAAAGCAUUGUUAGGUGCAAAAGAAGCUAUGCUUGGGAUUAGAUGAGGCUGCAGGUGUUCCUAUUGAACCAGAAUCACAAACAAAAUUUUUGGAUGCUACACUGAACUUGGAAGGAGUUUUGUUGGCUGGAGUUCCAGGAGCAGGAGGAUUUGAUGUUGUUUUGCUGUUACUUUGGGAGAUUCAAGCAGCAAUGUGA